rnacentral:lncRNA from 1 species
CCUCCCUGCCUCUCGUGGUUCCUGUCUACUCCAGCCUGCCCACCCCCACACAGCCACGCCACAGCCGUCCUGCAGAACAGUACAUUCCUUAUUUAUGAGAUGCAUCUGGGCUCUCUGCAAAUCAGCUGUGAAUGCCACAAUGCCUGCAGGAGGGAGGCAGAGAAUUCUGGAGCCAACAUCUUCCAGAAGGCUUUCUUUGGAGCAUGGAGGGUGUUAAAUGAGAAACUCCAGGGUAGUGUGUGUGAGAGAGAGAAUUGGGAAGAGAGAAAAAAGGUAUGAGAAGUGUCAGGCCUCUGAGCCCAAGCCAUCGCAUCCCCUGUGACUUGCACGUAUACAUCCAGAUGGCCUGAAGUAACUGAAGAUCCACAAAAGAAGUAAAAACAGCCUUAACUGAUGACAUUCCACCAUUGUGAUUUGUUCCUGCCCCACCCUAACUGAUCAAUGUACUUUGUAAUCUCCCCCACCCUUAAGAAGGUACUUUGUAGUCUCCCCCACCCUUAAGAAGGUUCUUUGUAAUUCUCCCCACCCUUGAGAAAGUACUUUGUGAGAUCCACCCCUGCCCACCAGAGAACAACCCCCUUUGACUGUAAUUUUCCAUUACCUUCCCAAAUCCUAUAAAAUGGCCCCACCCCUAUCUCCCUUCGCUGACUCUCUUUUUGGACUCAGCCCGCCUGCACCCAGGUGAAAUAAACAGCCAUAUUGCUCACACAAAGCCUGUUUGGUGGUCUCUUCACACGGACGCGCGUGAAAAGAAGUUUUGCUAGGGGAGAGAACUGACUCUCCAUGCGUGGCUUUGAAAACCACAAGCUAGGAACAAUUUAUCAAGAAGACAUAGCAAUCAUAAAUAUAUGUACACC